rnacentral:rRNA from 1 species
UCGGGAAUUUUGGGCAAUGGGCGAAAGCCUGACCCAGCAACGCCGCGUGAAGGAUGAAGUAUUUCGGUAUGUAAACUUCGAAAGAAUAGGAAGAAUAAAUGACGGUACUAUUUAUAAGGUCCGGCUAACUAUGUGCCAGCAGCCGCGGUAAUACGUAGGGACCAAGCGUUGUUCGGAUUUACUGGGCGUAAAGGGCGCGUAGGCGGCAAUUCAAGUCAUCUGUGAAAUCUCCGGGCUUAACUCGGAACGGUCAGAUGAUACUGCUUUGCUAGAGUGCAGAAGGGGCAAUCGGAAUUCUUGGUGUAGCGGUGAAAUGCGUAGAUAUCAAGAGGAACACCUGAGGUGAAGACGGGUUGCUGGGCUGACGCUGACGCUGAGGCGCGAAAGCCAGGGGGAG